UAAACUACGAUUAGAUACCCUAUUAUUUUAAAUGUAAAUAUAUUUAUUAAAGCUUGAGUAGUAUGAGUUAUGUUCUUUAAACUUAAAGAAUUUGGCGGUGUUUUAGUCUUUUCAGAGGAACCUGUCCCAUAAUCGAUAAUCCACGUAGUAUCUUACUUAAUUUUGUUUUCAACUUGUAUACCGCCGUCGUCAGAAUGUCUUUGGAGAGGUUUAAUUUUCUAACAUUUUUAUUAUAAAUGAUGUCAGGUCAAGGUGCAGUUUAUGGUUAAGUGGAGAUGGGUUACAAUAAAUUUAUUUAAAUGGAUUUUUAAGUUGAAAUAUUUAUAUGAAGGUGGAUUUGAUUGUAAUUUGAUUUAUAAAGUUGAAUUGAUUUUAGCUCUAAAACAUGCACACAUCGCCCGUCGCUCUUA
rnacentral:rRNA from 1 species